rnacentral:rRNA from 1 species
AGACCCGAAACCCGGUGAUCUAGCCAUGGGCAGGUUGAAGGUUGGGUAACACUAACUGGAGGACCGAACCGACUAAUGUUGAAAAAUUAGCGGAUGACCUGUGGCUGGGGGUGAAAGGCCAAUCAAACCGGGAGAUAGCUGGUUCUCCCCGAAAGCUAUUUAGGUAGCGCCUCGUGAAUUCAUCUCCGGGGGUAGAGCACUGUUUCGGCUAGGGGGCCAUCCCGGCUUACCAACCCGAUGCAAACUGCGAAUACCGGAGAAUGUUAUCACGGGAGACACACGGCGGGUGCUAACGUCCGUCGUGAAGAGGGAAACAACCCAGACCGCCAGCUAAGGUCCCAAAGUCAUGGUUAAGUGGGAAACGAUGUGGGAAGGCCCAGACAGCCAGGAUGUUGGCUUAGAAGCAGCCAUCAUUUAAAGAAAGCGUAAUAGCUCACUGGUCGAGUCGGCCUGCGCGGAAGAUGUAACGGGGCUAAACCAUGCACCGAAGCUGCGGCAGCGACACUGUGUGUUGUUGGGUAGGGGAGCGUUCUGUAAGCCUGUGAAGGUGGCCUGUGAGGGUUGCUGGAGGUAUCAGAAGUGCGAAUGCUGACAUAAGUAACGAUAAAGCGGGUGAAAAGCCCGCUCGCCGGAAGACCAAGGGUUCCUGUCCAACGUUAAUCGGGGCAGGGUGAGUCGACCCCUAAGGCGAGGCCGAAAGGCGUAGUCGAUGGGAAACGGGUUAAUAUUCCCGUACUUGGUGUUACUGCGAAGGGGGGACGGAGAAGGCUAUGUUGGCCGGGCGACGGUUGUCCCGGUUUAAGCGUGUAGGUGUGUGUUCCAGGUAAAUCCGGUUCACUUUAACACUGAGGCGUGAUGACGAGGCACUACGGUGCUGAAGCAACAAAUGCCCUGCUUCCAGGAAAAGCCUCUAAGCAUCAGGUAACAUCAAAUCGUACCCCAAACCGACACAGGUGGUCAGGUAGAGAAUACCAAGGCGCUUGAGAGAACUCGGGUGAAGGAACUAGGCAAAAUGGUGCCGUAACUUCGGGAGAAGGCACGCUGACACGUAGGUGAAGUGAUUUACUCAUGGAGCUGAAGUCAGUCGAAGAUACCAGCUGGCUGCAACUGUUUAUUAAAAACACAGCACUGUGCAAACACGAAAGUGGACGUAUACGGUGUGACGCCUGCCCGGUGCCGGAAGGUUAAUUGAUGGGGUCAGCGCAAGCGAAGCUCCUGAUCGAAGCCCCGGUAAACGGCGGCCGUAACUAUAACGGUCCUAAGGUAGCGAAAUUCCUUGUCGGGUAAGUUCCGACCUGCACGAAUGGCGUAAUGAUGGCCAGGCUGUCUCCACCCGAGACUCAGUGAAAUUGAACUCGCUGUGAAGAUGCAGUGUACCCGCGGCAAGACGGAAAGACCCCGUGAACCUUUACUAUAGCUUGACACUGAACAUUGAGCCUUGAUGUGUAGGAUAGGUGGGAGGCUUUGAAGUGUGGACGCCAGUCUGCAUGGAGCCGACCUUGAAAUACCACCCUUUAAUGUUUGAUGUUCUAACGUGGACCCGUAAUCCGGGUUGCGGACAGUGUCUGGUGGGUAGUUUGACUGGGGCGGUCUCCUCCUAAAGAGUAACGGAGGAGCACGAAGGUUGGCUAAUCCUGGUCGGACAUCAGGAGGUUAGUGCAAUGGCAUAAGCCAGCUUGACUGCGAGCGUGACGGCGCGAGCAGGUGCGAAAGCAGGUCAUAGUGAUCCGGUGGUUCUGAAUGGAAGGGCCAUCGCUCAACGGAUAAAAGGUACUCCGGGGAUAACAGGCUGAUACCGCCCAAGAGUUCAUAUCGACGGCGGUGUUUGGCACCUCGAUGUCGGCUCAUCACAUCCUGGGGCUGAAGUAGGUCCCAAGGGUAUGGCUGUUCGCCAUUUAAAGUGGUACGCGAGCUGGGUUUAGAACGUCGUGAGACAGUUCGGUCCCUAUCUGCCGUGGGCGCUGGAGAACUGAGGGGGGCUGCUCCUAGUACGAGAGGACCGGAGUGGACGCAUCACUGGUGUUCGGGUUGUCAUGCCAAUGGCACUGCCCGGUAGCUAAAUGCGGAAGAGAUAAGUGCUGAAAGCAUCUAAGCACGAAACUUGCCCCGAGA